UACGGGGGGGGCAAGCGUUGUUCGGAAUUACUGGGCGUAAAGGGCUCGUAGGUGGCCAACUAAGUCAGACGUGAAAUCCCUCAGCUUAACUGGGGAACUGCGUCUGAUACUGGAUGGCUUGAGUUUGGGAGAGGGAUGCGGAAUUCCAGGUGUAGCGGUGAAAUGCGUAGAUAUCUGGAGGAACACCGGUGGCGAAGGCGGCAUUCUGGACCGAUAUUGACGCUGAGGAGCGAAAGCCAGGGGAGCAAACGGG
rnacentral:rRNA from 1 species